rnacentral:rRNA from 1 species
CCUACGGGAGGCAGCAGUGAGGAAUAUUGGUCAAUGGACGAGAGUCUGAACCAGCCAAGUAGCGUGAAGGAUGAAUGCCCUAUGGGUUGUAAACUUCUUUUAUAAAGGAAUAAAACGAGGCACGUGUGCCUUUUUGCAUGUACUUUAUGAAUAAGGAUCGGCUAACGCCGUGCCAGCAGCCGCGGUAAUACGGAGUGUCCGAGCGUUAUCCGGAUUUAUUGGGGUUAAAGGGAGCGUAGAUGGCUUGUUAAGGCAGUUGUGAAAGUUUCCGGCUCCACCGUACACUUGCCAUUGAUACUGGCAGUCUUGCGUACAUUUGAGUUAGGCGGCAUUCGUGUUGUAGCGGUGAAAUGCUUAGAUAUCCC